CUACCACGAGCACUCUUGCCGCUGUACCAAACUGCCCCUCCGGUACCACCCAUCCCCUCCAGCCUUCUUACAGCUAUCACAUCAGCAUCGUGCUGUCCACCUCCCUCAGCGUCAACGCCAAUGUUUCUCUUCCGCCACAGCGCAGAGCCAAUGGAAGAGGAAGAGGAGCACCAUGAACCGGUCGACAGCACGAUGGAGCCCCAUAAUGCCGACACCGCUGCGGCUGAAGAGCGCGGAACGUCCGCGGAUGUGGCUGACGGCGACAUCUCGCGCGAGCCGUCCGGCUUCGCGGAGUCGUUCGAGGAAACGGGAGGUGCACCGCACACCCCGCGCGAGGGUACCGUGCCGCCGCCCCAUGUGCAUGAUAUGCUGCAGCACCAGCAUCUGCAUGACGAAGACGACGUCGAGGCGGACAUGGCCGCUGCCGCGCCGGCUGCAUCGGCCCCAGCUCCAUCCCACGGUGUACCGGCACUACCGAUGCCGCACACUUGCAACGAGGACUCUCAAGCUGAAGCGGACGGGAACGGAGCGCAGCGCCAUCGCAGCUACUCGCAUACCUCACGUUUUGCGGCGCCGUCGCCGCGCUCGACCAGCGGCAUCAGCCGUGGCCGCUCCUACUCGCUAAGCGGCCUCAGCGCCGCCGAGCUGGCGGAUGUGCACGAGCAGCGGUACCGCCGCUGCACCUCUGUCGUCAAGUCCGCGCGCUGCAUCUCGGCACGCCGGGCCAGCUCUGUGAACGGGGUCGUCGGCGUCAUCGAUGACCUCUACACGUUGGCCAGCCGCCGCAGCAGCGUCAUGACCGAGGGUGAGCGCGUCGCAGUGGAGCGGAUGAUGGAGAACGAGUACCGCCGACAGGAGGCGGCAGAGCGCUCGGCGCAGCUCGCGCUCGCGCGCGAGUCCACCAUCGUCAACGAGGAGCUCGCUCGCGAGAAGGCCAUGUAUGUGCGGCGCAUGCGUCUCAAUGAGGAGCUGCACGCGCGAUUGGCGAAGAGCAGCCGCAUCCGCCAGGAACGCAUGACCGCUGCGGCGCAGCGUCGGCAGGAGAUUGAACAAGAGCGGCUGCGCGUGCUCUACGACUCGAUGAUGGAGAAGGACACUCGCUACCACUUCCGCAAUCCGUACGAGAUGAUGGCUGCGCAGCGUCGCUACAGCAUUGAGAUGCGUAACCCUGCCGCGAUCGCGCCGCAGCGGCGCACCUCCUCGCCGUCCACGAGGGCAAACGGGAACGCUCAGAUGAGCCCCUACUCGAGCGACGGGGUUGCGAACGGUACCACGGAGGACCGCUGCACCUCCUCUCCCGCCACGAGGCGGCGUAGCAGUACCCCGAGUAUCGCCAAGUCCAAGCCGCGACAGUGCCUGCCGCUAGAUGCCUGGAAAAAGCCGGAGCCGCCGCGUAAGGACUCGUGCCGGAGCGACAUCUCUGCUGAGCACCGGUGCCGAUCCCCGAAUGAUUGGCGGGCCACCGCGGUGUUGGAGCACCCACGCCAGUGGCGCUAAAAGGGCGAGCGCACAUGCGGCGUUCCCCUUCGCGAUGUCAUUCACCGCGGCGCGGCUACACCGUUUCCGUGAUGCGCGCCGUGCUUGUCUUCCGGUGUCGCCUCCACGUGGCAUUGAACUGCGCCGUGGACGACGCUGAUUGUAGUUUGCCUCUGUGGUUAAGCGACAGGUGGUGACGGUGGCGCAUGUGUAAGCGCGUGUGUGUGUGGGCGUUGAGGGGGAGAGGAGGGCUCCGCUCGCCCUAUGACGACGAAUGGAUGCUUCUUUAUGAGCAAAAGCUUCCUCCCCACCACCACCCACCCACACACACACGCACGGCACAUUAUUGAUCACGUCUGUGCUUGAGUGUAUGCGAGUUGGCGCGUGUUCUCGGGGUGUCUUGCUGCUUCUGUUUUGUUUGGUGUUCCUUUUCUGUACUCUUCUUUAGAGCUUUCCCUCAAGCGGUGGUAGCGCGUCUGUCCUUCGACUCGCACGUUCGUGUGAGUGUGAGGCGUGUGUGGGUGUACGUCGUGUGUGGCGUGCCGGUCUUUCUGAUCUUCGCCUUUCCUUUGUAACGUCCCUGUGUGUUUUUUUCUCCUCCUCUGUAUGGCAGGGAGGCGACGUCGCUGCCCCCUCUUCCCUUCCCGCCCCACCCCCUCUCGUCUUUCUUACGGUUCUUUCUCAUGCGUGUUGGCGGAUUCUCAUGCAUGCGUGUCCACGUGGGGCUGUGUGUGUGUGCGUGUGUGUGUGUGUGUUGCACAGGCACGUCGGAUGCUGCUGCUCCUAUUCCCUUGUUUUCGCUGGCGGACAAGUCAGUCAAUCAUACACGCAUGCACCGACACAUCCGUUGGCGUAUGCGUGGAUGAAGGGCGUGUGAGGGACGUCGUUGCGAUGCCCCUCUUGUGUGCUGAACGUUUUCUUUGUGUGUCUCUCCUACUUGGCCUCUCUUUUUCUCUGGUGACGGGAGGGCACACAUACACACACCUCUCAGAGCGUGGUGUCUCAGGGCCCUGUGCGACUCUCCCCGCCCCCCACUCUCUCUCUGUUAGGGAGGCCAAACAGCCCCCCCCCCCUCUUCUACCUCUGCCAAUGCAGAACCCACCUCUGGCGGUGCGUCGGGACGGCCGACGACAGUGAACACGUCUGUGACAUCCAUACGAUGGGCAGCACGUGUCAGGGUGACUCGAGCGUAUGCCUCACACGGCCCUCACACGGCCCACUGAUGUGUGGGGAGGAGCCUGUGUGCCACCCCGAGGGAGGGGGGAGGGGGGAUGCACCAGGCGUGGCGACCGGCAUGAUUGGGGGGCGGCUGUGUGGGGUGGGGGAGUAGAGCUUGAGACAGAGAUGGUGUACAGGUCGCUGAGUCGGCGCAUUUGCUGUAGCACACGUGUGUGUCUGCGGUUUGCUUCGCACCACGCGGAUGGGGCCUGGUGACAGGGCCGUGGAAGGGUGGGUGGGCGAAGGGGUGUGCAGAGUGGCGUUGGACUCAUACGCGAGGGCUGAGAAAUGAAGGCAGUGGCAGACGACAUACACGCCUCCCACCCUCCCUCCCUCUUCUCUUCCGCUUCUCCGCUCAUCCCGGUGGCUGCGCAUCCGUCUCGCUCGCCGCUGUCGAUGGGAAAGGGUGUCCUCCCUGUUUUGCUUUUUCUUUCUUCUCCGCCUCUCUCUCACACAAGCAAGCGCUUUCACACACGAUCAACGAAAUGAUGACGUGGGCCGGUUGGUGGUGAUGGUCGUGCAGUGUGAGAGUGAGACCGGGAGGUGGGGAGGGCGAUCGACGGGGUGAUCUGCCAUAGAGCUCUUUGCUUCUGCCUGCUACCGCCGAUCCUCCUCCUCCCCCCACCCCACCCCACAUCUCUUUCUUCGUUUCCGCAGGUCUCUUGUGGACCCUGUAUUCCUCCUUCAUUGUGUGGGUGUGUGGUGUGCAGUGUGUGUGCGUGUCGCAUCUGUAUCUCCCCCAUGUUUUCCUUCGCUCUUCUUCACCUCCUUUUUCAUCCAUUGCGCUUCUAUGCUGCUGUUGCUGUCGCUUCCCUUUCCGUGGGAACGUGUGGGGAGGAGGGGAAGGGAGGUAGGUUGUUGUUGCUGCUGAUGCUGCUCGGCGCGGAGUAGCGUUUUAUGUGUGCCUGCUGUACGUCGUGUUCUUGGUAACCUCCCUUCUCUCUUCUCUCGUCACUUCGGUGGCUGGGUUGGGUGCGUGUUGGAGUGUCAGCGCGUCUGACGUGUGCGGGAAAGGGCAGCUUGCCAUGCCGAAGCAACAAGCACGACACACGCACGCACGCGUCAUCGCACGCGGGUUCGUUUUACAGUUGUUGUUCCCACCAACCACUACCCUUCCCUCCCUCCUCCCCCUUUUUCAUCAUCCAUUCCUUUCAUCCGUUCAUCCAUUCGACCGACGCACCCGGGCAAC
rnacentral:misc_RNA from 1 species